GAAACCUGAUUUUCUUCCCCAAGGGCUUCCCUCCCUUUUACGGUAUCUAGAGCGCAACUCUCGAGACUUGCCGUAAAGGGAAACAUCAUUCCGCGUGGUAGCUUUUGGGGAAAGAAUGAGUUUUUCCUUUGAAGCUGCUCUGUAUGAUUUUUGCGUUUUAGGUGACUGACUUCUGAAGCCGAUUUGAUAGCAGUUUGUCUUUACAGAACUAAGUUAGUUGUUCCCCCACCGGCCAUUGCACCUGUUGUUGAUUCAGUCAGUAAACAUUUAUGGGAUGCCUUUACAUAUGCCAGGCACUUACCUGUGCCAUGAGGAAUAAGUUGAAACCCAUUCUCGUUUCUGGAAGCAUUCACAGUUCAAUGGAGGAAACAAUUGACGUGCAACAGGAGAUGCGUCAUAUUAAUUACCUGAUUGCUUGCACAAGAUAGGCCUAACUUCGGAAGCCCAUCUGCAAGAUUGCCUCCUGAAAUGAGACACAACUAUUUAACUGAACUGACCUAUUCCCAAGACUGAGGUUGAUUCUUUGAGCUAUGGAGUUAUCUACCAGUUUGGCUUCUGGAUACUUCUUCAAAGUUUUAAAGGGAAGAUCAUCCCCAGCCCUGUGUGAUUAAGAAUGGCGAGAAUAAUCACCAUGGCACAAGCAGCUCAAAUACUCAGGGAGACUGAACACAUAACUGCCCACUGUAGGAAAGGGCUUUUUAGAAACUGCUGGAGGAAGUUGGAUUCAGUUGUCCAAGGACCGUGGCUCAUAACCCAACACGACUGGGGAAGUGAGGUGACUCAGUGGCCCCUGAAGGAUGCAGAUCCAGUCGGUGACCCAUGAAACUCGGCCUUCACAUAUGUCCAG